rnacentral:rRNA from 1 species
UGCGGGGGGGGCAAGCGUUGUUCGGAUUUACUGGGCGUAAAGGGCGCGUAGGCGGCCAGCACAAGUCAGUUGUGAAAUCUCCGGGCUUAACUCGGAAAGGUCAACUGAUACUGUGCGGCUAGAGUGCAGAAGGGGCAACUGGAAUUCUCGGUGUAGCGGUGAAAUGCGUAGAUAUCGAGAGGAACACCUGCGGCGAAGGCGGGUUGCUGGGCUGACACUGACGCUGAUGCGCGAAAGCCAGGGGAGGCGAACGGG